UUUGAUUUCAGUUAAAUAGUAUUUUAAUAAACUAAUUUUUAAAUUUAAAAGAAAGAAAAAAGGUAAUUAUUGUUAUACAUUCAUUACCAGUGUCCUACUAAUUUCUAGAAUUUUAUCCAACUCGCAGACUUUUUUGCUCCGUUAGUAUCAUUAAUCAUCGUCACUCGUGAACGAAGACAGUAUACAAUGAGAAACCCAAGAUGAAAAGAAAAAAGAUAAAAAAAAUAAAAACAAGAGUAGUAAGAAAAAAAAACUACGGCCAACUACCAGCGACGACGAGUACGAAGACGAAGACGAAAGGAGAAUAAGAAGAAGUAGCGUUUUAUUUGCUAAUAUGUCUAAUAAAAUAACAAAACUCCGCAAGUAGGGAAUUUUUACAACUUUUUUAUGUCCAGAAAAAUAUAAAAAUAUUUUUUCUUGAUAGAUAAUAAAAUUUUAUAAAAGUUAUUCGUGCUCCAACCAAACCCUACCAAUAAUAGUUAUCUUUUUAGUAACAUUUACAAUAUAUAUUGUACUUAUAUAUAUAAAAUAAAAAAAAAUCACAAGCGACAUUUCAGUGUGGAGUAAACUAGAACAAUCCAUUAUAAGAAUGUCCGUCAAGCUGCUGAUGCCAAUUAACACCUGAAUAUCUUAUAAUAUCAACCCUAGCGGUUUUAAUAUUAAUAUAUGCUAGAUAAAUAAAAAUAUCCAUAAUUAAAUAAUUAAU